rnacentral:rRNA from 1 species
GACGAACGCUGGCGGCGUGCUUAACACAUGCAAGUCGAACGAAGUGGCGAACGGGUGAGUAACGCGUAAUCAACUUGCCCUUCAGAGGGGGACAACAGUUGGAAACGACUGCUAAUACCGCAUACUGAAGGAGGGGUAUGCGUCUGAUUAGCUAGUUGGAGGGGUAACGGCCCACCAAGGCGAUGAUCAGUAGCCGGUCUGGGGGGAUGGACGGCCACAUUGGGACUGAGACACGGCCCAGACUCCUUCGGGGGGGAGCAGUGGGGAAUCUUCCGCAAUGGACGAAAGUCUGACGAAGCAACGCCGCGUGAGUGAUGACGGCCUUCGGGUUGUAAAGCUCUGUUAAGCGGGACGCGGUACCGGAAUAGAAAGCCACGGCUAACUACGUGCCAGCAGCCGCGGUAAUUC